GCAGCGUUCCUCCAUGGUCUCUGCUUCAGUUCCUGCCUCCAGGUUCCUGUCUCAAGCUCCUGCACUGACUCCCCUCAAGCAGGGACUGUAAACUGUAAGCUGAAACAAAUCCCCACUCCACCCAAGGAGCUUCGGUCCCAGGUAUGGCUCCCGGGAAAGGACAAACAAGCGCUGUUGUACAUGUGUCUUCAAUGGAUGGAUCCCAUCCCUACCACCGUUUAAAUCGGAGAUCUUAUUCAGAAAUUCCCAAGUUAAGCUUUCCCAAGCACAAACAGAAUUGAAAUUUGUAUUCCAAAAAAUUUAAUGACAUGAAAAGUAUAUAUGAGACUUAAUAAACUGUUUGGCUGUGGUU
rnacentral:lncRNA from 1 species